rnacentral:snRNA from 1 species
AUCGCUUCUCCGCCUUUUGGCUAAGAUCAAGUGUAGUAUCUGUUUUACCGGUUCAGUUGCCCACUUGGAGCGUGGUACAGUCAGCCCUUGUCUUGCAUUCUCCAUGGGGCUGAUAGGAAAUU